UGUGAGCUGUGAGAGCAUGAUCGUCCAAACGGCGGUCUAGGUGAGUGUUCGCGGUGGUCUUCUGGAGUGGUUACAUGUCAAAACCAUGGAACCACGAAAGAAACUUAAUUGGGGAGCAUUUAAUUUCUCGGGUAGCUGUGGUGUCAUUGUUUGUGCAUGUUGGGCAUGUCCAAGCAAUGUGCACUUAGUUUACUGCUUUCUUGAGUGAUAUAUUGGGAACUGUUGGGCUG
rnacentral:lncRNA from 1 species